CAUAUCAAUAACGGAGGAAAAGAACCACAGGGAUUACCUUAGUACGGCGAGUGAAGCGGUACGGCUCAAAUUUGAAAUCGGCCACCGGUCGAGUUGUAAUUUGCAGAGGAUGCUUCGGCUUCGCCCCGGCCCAAGUCCGUUGGAACACGGCGUCCGCAGAGGGUGAGAAUCCCGUUGCGGCCGGCGGCCCCGCCUGUGAAGCUCCUUCGACGAGUCGAGUUGUUUGGGAAUGCAGCUCAAAAUGGGAGGUAAAUUUCUUCUAAAGCUAAAUAUUGGCCCGAGACCGAUAGCGCACAAGUAGAGUGAUCGAAAGAUGAAAAGCAUCUUGGAAAGGAAUCGAAACAGCACGUGAAAUUGUUGAAGGGGAAGCGCUCGCGGCGAGAGCCCGCGCGGUCGUUCACCGGGGCCUCGCGCCCCGGGCACGCGGCCGCGUCGGCCAGCAUCGGUUCGGGCGGCGGGAGAAACGCCGACGGCACGUAGCUCCCCUCGGGGAGUGUUAUAGCCGCGGCGCAAUACCGCCCGCCUGGACCGUGGCACGCGCUCUCGCUCGGAUGCUGGCGUAAUGCGCCGCGAGCGGCCCGUCUUGAAACACGGACC
rnacentral:sRNA from 1 species